GGGUUGUGAGGUUAAGCGACUAAGCGUACACGGUGGAUGCCCUGGCAGUCAGAGGCGAUGAAGGGCGUGCUAAUCUGCGAUAAGCGCCGGUAAGGUGAUAUGAACCGUUAUAACCGGCGAUACCCGAAUGGGGAAACCCAGUGUGAUUCGUCACACUAUCAUUAACUGAAUCCAUAGGUUAAUGAGGCGAACCGGGGGAACUGAAACAUCUAAGUACCCCGAGGAAAAGAAAUCAACCGAGAUUCCCCCAGUAGCGGCGAGCGAACGGGGAGGAGCCCAGAGCCUGAAUCAGCAUGUGUGUUAGUGGAAGCGUCUGGAAAGGCGCGCGAUACAGGGUGACAGCCCCGUACACAAAAGCGUAUGUGCUGUGAGCUCGAUGAGUAGGGCGGGACACGUGGUAUCCUGUCUGAAUAUGGGGGGACCAUCCUCCAAGGCUAAAUACUCCUGACUGACCGAUAGUGAACCAGUACCGUGAGGGAAAGGCGAAAAGAACCCCGGCGAGGGGAGUGAAAAAGAACCUGAAACCGUGUACGUACAAGCAGUGGGAGCACCCUUUGGGGUGUGACUGCGUACCUUUUGUAUAAUGGGUCAGCGACUUAUAUUCUGUAGCAAGGUUAACCGAAUAGGGGAGCCGGAGGGAAACCGAGUCUUAAUUGGGCGUUAAGUUGCAGGGUAUAGACCCGAAACCCGGUGAUCUAGCCAUGGGCAGGUUGAAGGUUGGGUAACACUAACUGGAGGACCGAACCGACUAAUGUUGAAAAAUUAGCGGAUGACCUGUGGCUGGGGGUGAAAGGCCAAUCAAACCGGGAGAUAGCUGGUUCUCCCCGAAAGCUAUUUAGGUAGCGCCUCGUGAAUUCAUCUCCGGGGGUAGAGCACUGUUUCGGCUAGGGGGUCAUCCCGGCUUACCAACCCGAUGCAAACUGCGAAUACCGGAGAAUGUUAUCACGGGAGACACACGGCGGGUGCUAACGUCCGUCGUGAAGAGGGAAACAACCCAGACCGCCAGCUAAGGUCCCAAAGUCAUGGUUAAGUGGGAAACGAUGUGGGAAGGCCCAGACAGCCAGGAUGUUGGCUUAGAAGCAGCCAUCAUUUAAAGAAAGCGUAAUAGCUCACUGGUCGAGUCGGCCUGCGCGGAAGAUGUAACGGGGCUAAACCAUGCACCGAAGCUGCGGCAGCGACACUCAGG
rnacentral:rRNA from 1 species